UAGGGAAUCUUCCGCAAUGGACGCAAGUCUGACGGAGCAACGCUGCGUGAGUGAAGAAGGAUUUCGGUUCGUAAAACUCUGUUGUUAGAGAAGAACAGCGCAUAGAGUAACUGUUAUGCGUGUGACGGUAUCUAACCAGAAAGCCACGGCUAACUACGUGCCAGCAGCCGCGGUAAUACGUAGGUGGCAAGUGUUGUCCGGAUUUAUUGGGCGUAAAGCGAGCGCAGGCGGUCAAUUAAGUCUGAUGUGAAAGCCCCCGGCUCAACCGGGGAGGGUCAUUGGAAACUGGUUGACUUGAGUGCAGAAGAGGAGAGUGGAAUUCCUUGUGUAGCGGUGAAAUGCGUAGAUAUAUGGAGGAACACCAGUGGCGAAGGCGACUCUCUGGUCUGUAACUGACGCUGAGGCUCGAAAGCGUGGGUAGCAAACAGG
rnacentral:rRNA from 1 species